CUAUUUCUAACCAUUUUGGUGUUUCUAAUAAGUCACAAAUGACUUAACUAAGUGACUCUAAGAGCCUAAACCUGACCCUAGCCUAUAACUCUCAAAAUCACUACUCAGGUUCCCUAAUUUGACUUUGCCAUUAGAAUGAACUUAACUGUCUACCUAAGAUUCUGCAUAAUGUGAACUCAGUUUCUAUCGUACAAUUCCC
rnacentral:lncRNA from 1 species